UGGCGGCGUGCCUAACACAUGCAAAGGUCGAACGGACUGCGAGGAGCUUGCUCCUCAAAGUUAGUGGCGGACGGGUGAGUAACGCGUGAGUAACCUGCCUUACAGAGGGGGAUAACGUUUGGAAACGAACGCUAAUACCGCAUAAUGUAUCUGAUAUCGCAUGGUAUUGAUACCAAAGAUUUUAUCGCUGUAAGAUGGACUCGCGUCUGAUUAGAUAGUUGGCGGGGUAACGGCCCACCAAGUCGACGAUCAGUAGCCGGACUGAGAGGUUGAACGGCCACAUUGGGACUGAGACACGGCCCAGACUCCUACGGGAGGCAGCAGUGAGGGAUAUUGCACAAUGGGCGCAAGCCUGAUGCAGCAACGCCGCGUGAGGGAUGACGGUUUUCGGAUUGUAAACCUCUGUCUUUGGUGAAGAUAAUGACAUUAGCCAAGGAGGAAGCCACGGCUAACUACGUG
rnacentral:rRNA from 1 species